CCUACGGGAGGCAGCAGUGAGGAAUAUUGGUCAAUGGACGAGAGUCUGAACCAGCCAAGUAGCGUGAAGGAUGACUGCCCUAUGGAUUGUAAACUUCUUUUAUAAAGGAAUAAAACGAGGCACGUGUGCCUUUUUGCAUGUACUUUAUGAAAAAGGAUCGGCUAACUCCGUGCCAGCAGCCGCGGUAAUACGGAGGAUCCGAGCGUUAUCCGGAUUUAUUGGGUUUAAAGGGGGCGUAGAUGGGUUGUUAAGUCAGCUGUGAAAGUUUGCGGCUCAACCGUAAAAUUGCAAUUGAUACUGGCAGACUUGAGUACAGUUGAGGUAGGCGGAAUGCGUGGUGUAGCGGUGAAAUGCUUAGAUAUCACGAAGAACCCCGAUUGCGAAGGCAGCUUACUAAACUGUGACUGACAUUGAUGCUCGAAAGUGUGGGUAUCAAACAGGAUUAGAUACCCGAGUAGUC
rnacentral:rRNA from 1 species